AUGACUGGGGUGAAGUCGUAACAAGGUAGCGCUAGGGGAACCUGGCGCUGGAUCACCUCCUUAUACGAUGAU
rnacentral:rRNA from 1 species